rnacentral:lncRNA from 1 species
AAAAAAAAAAGAAGAUUUCAGUUUCUGCAAACCAAAAUUGCUGAAUAAAAGGAGCUGAUCUUGCAACAUGUUUGUUGAGAAACCAUUAACGUGCUUCCCCGUUUAAGAGCAGCUGGCACAGUAUAGUGCACACGAGCUGGAGGCUGCGCAUGAAAUUAACUGAGAACAAACUGGCAGAGAUUAAGAUUGCAGUAAAUCCUCCCAUCAAAACCACCCAUCUUUGAGCGGGCCAUAAAUCUUCCCAUGGGACAACAUAAUCACUGAUCACUGUUGUAGCAGGCCACUGAGGUGUUAUGAAAGGACCUUCCAGUCUCUUGAGGAACAAGCAGCAAGAGCUGCUGUAUCAUUAUGUAAAUACCCAGUUUGUACAGUUAUAUAAGUCCCCAUUCCUGUGUCAGGAAGCUCAUUAAUGUAUCAAUAAAGAAGGUGGGGAUAGGAAGGUACGUGGGAUAGAAGCCACACACAUG